rnacentral:rRNA from 1 species
CUUGGUCAUUUAGAGGAAGUAAAAGUCGUAACAAGGUUUCCGUAGGUGAACCUGCGGAAGGAUCAUUAGAGAAAAAGGUUAUGGUAGUUGUAGAGCUGCAAUUCUUUAGAAUUGCGGCGGGUCACUGGGACUGUAAGCCAGACAAGUGUGAGAAACUUUACUGGUACCUCACCCUAUUAACCAUUCACUAUAUGAACGAAACACACAAGGACCUCGUCGCAAUGGAUCUCUCGGCUCUUGCAUCGAAGAAGAACGCAGUCAAUUGCGAAAAGUAAUGUGACGUGCACCCUUUGAGAAGCAUUAUACUCUUUGAACGCACCUUGCACGCAUCAUUUUGAUGCGAGGUCCUGUUUGAGCGUGCACUAAUAUUUAAUUAUUUGUUCACUAUUUAUUUGCGUAAAUGGUGGGUGAAAAAGAAGCAGGCCCGAACGACUCUAGGGCGCCACGGCGAGCAGCGCGACAAGCAUCACUGCGACCCGUGGGACUGCAAGUGUGUGUGUAAAUGUAAACCAUCUACACACAUGCACAAUCAAUAUAUACCUGACCACGCACCUCAAAUCAGGAUAGAGCACCCGCCGAACUUAAGCAUAUCAGUAAGCGGAGGAGAAGAAACUAACAAGGAUUCCCCUAGUAACGGCGAGUGAAGCGGGAACAGCCCAUGACGAACUUGCUUCUUUACUGGAAGUUGGCAUGUGUCGUGGAGCGGCGUGCGCGUGUUUUGCAAGAGUCGCAGGUCCCCUGGAAAGGGGCGGCACAGAGGGUGAGACCCCCGUGGCGACACUUGCGAAGCACCACGCGCGCUGCAGCGAGUCGGAUUGUUUGGGAAUGCAAUCCCAAGCAGGUGGUACGCACCAUCUAAGGCUAAACAGCGGCAAGAGACCGAUAGCAAACAAGUACCGUGAGGGAAAGAUGAAAAGGACUCUGAAGAGAGAGUCAAAAGUGCGUGAAAUUGCGAGGAGGGAAACGAAGGCGCGUUUUACAGAGGUGACAGAGUCGAGUUGCGCAACAAGCGGCCUGGGAGGUGCCAUGCGGAAACGCAAGGACGUACAGCCAGGCCGGCUUGCGCGACACGGCACCUGGCAUGACGGCGCGUCUUUGACCCGUCUUGAAACACGGACC